GCAGAUAUAGUUUAGUGGUAAAACCCAUAGCCUUCCCAGCUAACGAUGCGGGUUCGAUUCCCGCUACCCGCU
rnacentral:tRNA from 1 species